GCUGGGCACAGUGACUCACGCCUGUAAUCUCGGUGCUUUGGAAGGCUGAGGCAGGCAGACUGCUGAGCCCAGGAGAUGGGGGCUGUAGUGCGCUAAGAUUGGCAUCAAUAUGGUGACCUCUUGGGGGAGGCAACCACUAGGUCGCCUAAGGAGGAGCUAACUGGCCCAGGUUGGAAACAGAGCAUGUCAGAAGUCCCACAGUGAUCAGUAGUGGGGUCCUUCCUGUGAACAGCCAGUGAGCUCCAGCCUGGGCAACAUAGUGAGACCCUGUCUCUA
rfam:Callithrix jacchus chromosome 1, whole genome shotgun sequence